rnacentral:lncRNA from 1 species
AAAAAUUGAGAUAUGACUGACAUAUAACACUGUUUGUUUUAGGUGUACAACAUAGUGACUCAAUAUUUGUAUGUAUAUACUGAGAAAUGAGCACCAAAAUAAGUCCAGUUAACAUCCAUCACCACACAUCGUUACAAAUUUAUUUUUUCUGCAACACAGGAUCUGAGCCAUGUCUGUGACCCAUACCACAGUUCACGGCAAUGCCGGAUCCUGAACCUACACAGCAAGGCCAGGGAUCAAACACGCAACCUCAUGGUUAUUAGUUAGAUUCGUUUCUGCUGCGCCACAAUGGGAACUCCUAUUUUUUCUUAUUUUGAAGACUUUUAAAAUCUACUCUCUUAGCAACUUACAAAUAUAAAAUACAGUAUUAUUAACUAUAGUCACUAGGCUUUACUAAAUAAAAUCUGAAAUCUUAAGAUUACUAAAUAAAAACUGCAUCUUAAAAAUUAGGAAGAGGGAUCUUAGAAACAUUUAGCCCAAUGCCUCUCAAACUUUAACGUGUGAGUCCCCAAGGACAUUCUAAUAAAAUUCAGACUGUGAAUCUAUAAGUGUGGAGUGGGCCUGAGAUUCUGAAUUCUAACAAGCUCUAGGUGAUGAUGAUGCUGCCGGUCCAGGAACCAUGCACCAGGUACCAAGGCUCCAGUCAAGCCUAAUGGAGAUCCCCUAGCUUCUGCUAGGGAAUCUCUAGUGACCAGGAGCUGAAACCUCCACCAGGAGACAUGGCAGAGAUCUGACUUGUGGAGCAACAAAGAAAGUUGGCUUCCUCUUCUAAUGAUGGAAGAUAUCCUUUAUUUUCCUAUAGCUCCUCUUCUCCAAGCUAAACUUCCCUACUUCUAUGGGAAGUAGAAGUGGCCAGUUUCCAGAUUCCUAUACAUCUUGAUCACAGAGGAUGCUCCCUCCAUGAUCAACAUCUUCCUUUCAAAAGUCCCUCGGGAUGGGGGUGGGUAGUAUUCCAUACAUGGGACAGCCAGGCCCGUGACUAGGUGAGCAAGAGCAUUGUAUUACCCCAUCUAAAUGGGACAGCUUGCUUAACUGCUCUACGGAAGUGUCACCUUCUUUAAUAACCAAAGACCACACUGCACUGGCAGAUCACAAUCUUGUAGAGAAAUUGGUACCAAGCAGGUGUGCAAAUUCUGUACUCAGUUUUUUUUUUAACCCAAAUGUAGGAAUUUACAUUUAUUCCCAUUAAAUGUCAUCUUGCUACUUUGGGCUUGGCAUUUUCUGAGGUAAUUUUAAAAUAAGAGAUCAAAUCAGAAAUAUUUUCAGAAAAUAACAACUCACAAAAUCCAUUUGAAAAUUUACUAUCUAAUAUGCAGUAUGUAUACACAUAUACAUAAAAACACAUAUGGUUAAAAAUAAUUAUGAAAAAGAACAUCCUUGGGACCACCGUUUGAGCUGGAAAGUAAAACAACUGUCUGGACCUUGGAAGUUCUAGAGUCCUUUCCCCACCACGUACCACUCCAUUGCCUCUGGAGGUAACCCCUAUACUGAUUUUUUUUUUUUUUUUGGUCUUUUGCCUUUUCUAUGGCCACACCCUUGGCAUAAGGAAGUUCCCAGGCUAGGGGUCGAAUAGGAGCUGUAGCCGCCGGCCUACACCACAGCCACAGCAACAUGGGAUCUGAGCCACAUCUGCAACCUACACCACAGCUCACAGCAACGCCAGAUCCUUGACCCCACUAAGCGAGGCCAGGGAUUGAGCCUGAGAUCUCAUGGUUCCUAGUCACGAGGGGAACUCCUAUUGUUUUGGGUUUUUUUGUCUUUUGUAUACCGAUUUCGUGUGUGUGUGUGUGUGUGUGUGUGUGUGUGUGUGUGAGAUAAUCAUUCUCUCAAUUUUCUGUAUUGCUUUAAUAUUUAUAUAUACAGCCCUAAACUAUAAUAGGGAAGAACAAAUCUGACUCCAUAU